UACAGAGGAUGCAAGCGUUAUCCGGAAUGAUUGGGCGUAAAGGGCGCGUAGGCGGCCAACUAAGUCAGACGUGAAAUCCCUCGGCUCAACCGGGGAACUGCGUCUGAUACUGGAUGGCUUGAAUUCGGGAGAGGGAUGCGGAAUUCCAGGUGUAGCGGUGAAAUGCGUAGAUAUCUGGAGGAACACCGGUGGCGAAGGCGGCAUCCUGGACCGAGAUUGACGCUGAUGCGCGAAAGCCAGGGGAGCAAACGGG
rnacentral:rRNA from 1 species